rnacentral:misc_RNA from 1 species
CCGAGUUUACAACUCCCAAACCCCUGUGAACAUACCUAUACGUUGCCUCGGCGGAUCAGCCCGCGCCCCGUAAAACGGGACGGCCCGCCCGAGGACCCCUAAACUCUGUUUUUAGUGGAACUUCUGAGUAAAAAACUUAAAUAAUUAC